rnacentral:rRNA from 4 species
CAACGUUGAUAGGUCAGGUGUGUAAGGACUGCGAGGUCUUGAGCUAACUGAUACUAAUUGCCCGUGAGGCUUAACCAUACAACACCCAAGUAGUU